rnacentral:pre_miRNA from 1 species
AAUAAAUCCAUUUUUCAGAUUUUAGAUAUGAUGUCUUGACUAUUCAUCUUAUUUAAUUUUUUUGUGAUUAAUAUUUUUAUUGUUACUAGAUGGUAAAAUAUAAAUAGUAUUUUACGUGUGGCUAAUUUUUUAAAGUUUUUAUAUAAAUUUUCUAAAUAAGACGAACGGUCAAAACGUUGAGCAUAGAAAUUGAAAAAUAAAGUUAUU